rnacentral:SRP_RNA from 1 species
GCUGGGUGUGGUGGUGCACGCCUGUAGUCCCAGCUACUUGGGAGGCUGAGGAAGGAGGAUCACUGGAGCCCGAGUCCAAGGCUGCAAUGAGCUAUGAUUGCACCAUUGCACUCCAGCCUGGGCAACAUAGUGAGACCCCAUCUCUU